rnacentral:snRNA from 1 species
CUUACAAUGGAGAACUAAAAC